UGGGAAUUUUGGACAAUGGGCGCAAGCCUGAUCCAGCCAUGCCGCGUGCGGGAAGAAGGCCUUCGGGUUGUAAACCGCUUUUGUCAGGGAAGAAAUCUUCUGAGUUAAUACCUCGGGAGGAUGACGGUACCUGAAGAAUAAGCACCGGCUAACUACGUGCCAGCAGCCGCGGUAAUACGUAGGGUGCAAGCGUUAAUCGGAACUACUGGGCGUAAAGCGUGCGCAGGCGGUUUUGUAAGACAGAGGUGAAAUCCCCGGGCUCAACCUGGGAACUGCCUUUGUGACUGCAAGGCUUGAGUGCGGCAGAGGGGGGAUGGAAUUCCGCGUGUAGCAGUGAAAUGCGUAGAUAUGCGGAGGAACACCGAUGGCGAAGGC
rnacentral:rRNA from 1 species